rnacentral:rRNA from 1 species
GAUGAACGCUGGCGGCGUGCCUAAUACAUGCAAGUCGAGCGAACGGACGAGAAGCUUGCUUUUCUGAUGUUAGCGGCGGACGGGUGAGUAACACGUGGAUAACCUACCUAUAAGACUGGGAUAACUUCGGGAAACCGGAGCUAAUACCGGAUAAUAUUUUGAACCGCAUGGUUCAAAAGUGAAAGACGGUCUUGCUGUCACUUAUAGAUGGAUCCGCGCUGCAUUAGCUAGUUGGUAAGGUAACGGCUUACCAAGGCAACGAUGCAUAGCCGACCUGAGAGGGUGAUCGGGCACACUGGAAAUGAGACACGGUCCAGACUCCUACGGGAGGCAGCAGUAGGGAAUCUUCCGCAAUGGGCGAAAGCCUGACGGAGAAACGCCGCGUGAGUGAUGAAGGUCUUCGGAUCGUAAAACUCUGUUAUUAGGGAAGAACAUAUGUGUAAGUAACUGUGCACAUCUUGACGGUACCUAAUCAGAAAGCCACGGCUAACUACGUG